ACACUGCUUUUAAAUUAUGUUUAAAGUAAUGCAUAUUUAUAAAGGAAGACCAGUAAAAAUAUCUGCAAAUGUUGCAUCUUUUUUUUUUACAAAAAAGUCCAUAUGAAAGAUUUGACACUAUAUUUUUAAUUCUAUUAUAAAAUAGAUUAAGUUAGCACUAUGGUAAAUUUAAAUGGGUAAUUAUGGUUGCCAAAUCCAUUGGAAAUUUGAAUUGAGAUUAUGACCAUAUCUUGAGGGAAAGAAUUUUUUUGGGGAAAAAAAGGGGGGGAUCAAUUUUUUCUCAUUUCAGAUUUCAGAAAUUAAAAAGAAUUAUUCUUCAAAUAUUUUUUUUUUUUCAAAUUUCAAAUAUUGAAAAAUUUCAAGAAGUAAUCUUUAAUUGCACAGUAUGGCGCAUUAGAUUUGUAAAAUCUUUGAUCACAUUUAUUUAUUUGUUAUGCCGAAUCUAACAGUGUAUUUAGAUUUUUAAUUUUGGGUCCUGUUUUCAAAUUGGUCUACAUUAAGGUCCAAAGGGUCCAAAAUUAAACUUUGUUUGAUUUUAGCAAAAAUUGAAUAUAUGAGGUUCUUUGAUAUGCUGAAUCUAAACAUGAAUUUAGAUUUUUGAUUUUUGGCCAAGUUUUCAAGUUGGUCCAAAUUGGGGUCCAAAAUUAAACUUUGUUUGAUUUCAACAAAAAUUGAAUAUAUGGGGUUCUUUGAUAUGCUGAAUCUAACCAUGUAUUUAGAUUUUUUAUUUGUGGACCCCAUUAUCAAAUUGGUUCAUAUUGAGGUCAAAAGGGUCCAAAAUUAAACUUUGUUUGAUUUCAUCUAAAAUUGAAUUAUUGGGGUUCUUUGAUAUUCCAAAUCUAACCGUGUAUUUAGAUUUUUAAUUUUGGGUCCUGUUUUUUAAAUUGGUCUACAUUAAGGUCCAAAGGGUCCAAAACUAAACUUAGUUUGAUUUUAACAAAAAUUGAAUUCUUGGGGUUCUUUGAUAUGCUGAAUCUAAACAUGUGUUUAGAUUUUUGAUUAUGGGCCCAGUUUUCAAGUUGGUCCAAGAUAGGGUCCAGUAUUUAAACUUUGUUUGAUUUCAACAAAAAUUGAAUAUAUGGGGUUCUUUGAUAUGCUGAAUCUAAACAUGUGUUUAGAUUUUUGAUUAUGGGCCCAGUUUUCAAGUUGGUCCAAAUUGGGGUCCAAAAUUAAACUUUGUUUGAUUUCAGCAAAAAUUGAAUAUAUGAGGUUCUUUGAUAUGCUGAAUCUAACCAUGAAUUUAGAUUUUUUAUUUGUGGGCCCAGCUAUCAAAUUGGUUCAUAUUGAGGUCAAAAGGGUCCAAAAUUAAACUUUGUUUGAUUUCAUCAAAAAUUGAAUUAUUGGGGUUCUUUGAUAUUCCAAAUCUAACCGUGUAUUUAGAUUUUUAAUUUUAAGUCCCGUUUUUUAAAUUGGUCUACAUUA